UUGGAGUCUGUGUGGAAGGCGGUGUCCAAGUCCCUUGGAACAGGGCGCCCAGGAGGGUGAGAGCCCCGUGGGAUGCCGGCGGAAGCAGUGAGGCCCUUCUGACGAGUCGAGUUGUUUGGGAAUGCAGCUCCAAGCGGGUGGUAAAUUCCAUCUAAGGCUAAAUACUGGCGAGAGACCGAUAGCGAACAAGUACUGUGAAGGAAAGAUGAAAAGCACUUUGAAAAGAGAGUGAAACAGCACGUGAAAUUGUUGAAAGGGAAGGGUAUUGCGCCCGACAUGGGGAUUGCGCACCGCUGCCUCUCGUGGGCGGCGCUCUGGGCUUUCCCUGGGCCAGCAUCGGUUCUUGCUGCAGGAGAAGGGGUUCUGGAACGUGGCUCUUCGGAGUGUUAUAGCCAGGGCCAGAUGCUGCGUGCGGGGACCGAGGACUGCGGCCGUGUAGGUCACGGAUGCUGGCAGAACGGCGCAACACCGCCCGUC
rnacentral:rRNA from 1 species